AGAGUUUGAUCCUGGCUCAGGACGAACGCUGGCGGCGUGCUUAACACAUGCAAGUCGAACGAUGAACCGCUUUCGGGCGGGGAUUAGUGGCGAACGGGUGAGUAACACGUGGGCAAUCUGCCCUGCACUCUGGGACAAGCCCUGGAAACGGGGUCUAAUACCGGAUAUGACCGUCUGCCGCAUGGUGGAUGGUGUAAAGCUCCGGCGGUGCAGGAUGAGCCCGCGGCCUAUCAGCUUGUUGGUGAGGUAGUGGCUCACCAAGGCGACGACGGGUAGCCGGCCUGAGAGGGCGACCGGCCACACUGGGACUGAGACACGGCCCAGACUCCUACGGGAGGCAGCAGUGGGGAAUAUUGCACAAUGGGCGAAAGCCUGAUGCAGCGACGCCGCGUGAGGGAUGACGGCCUUCGGGUUGUAAACCUCUUUCAGCAGGGAAGAAGCGAAAGUGACGGUACCUGCAGAAGAAGCGCCGGCUAACUACGUGCCAGCAGCCGCGGUAAUACGUAGGGCGCAAGCGUCGUCCGGAAUUAUUGGGCGUAAAGAGCUCGUAGGCGGCUUGUCACGUCGGUUGUGAAAGCCCGGGGCUUAACCCCGGGUCUGCAGUCGAUACGGGCAGGCUAGAGUUCGGUAGGGGAGAUCGGAAUUCCUGGUGUA
rnacentral:rRNA from 1 species